AGCAGCAAUUUACUGGUGAAAUAAGUCAUUGUAAUAAGUUAUUGUUAUUACAUUAUUAAUCAAUCAUUUAACUUUGACCAUAUGACCUUAGCAAUAAGUCGUUGUGUAAUGUUGCCGACUGUCGUUUUGUGCUCCUUUUUUAUAUUAUAUACAUUAUAAAUAUAUCAGGGCUGUAGUCAAGACCACCUUUGUCGAGUCCAAGACCAGGACUAGUCGAGACCAAGUCAAGACCGAGUCCAAAAAAGUCAGAGUCCUCUGCACAGUGCUGAGAAAUUCCUGGUGAUUUCUAUAACCAAAUUUGACAAAUUUUACGGUGUGUGGCAUUAACGUUAGCAGGGCAUGCAGAUGCAGGGGGGGUGCAAAGACAAUCUAGCGUGUGAUUGGUUAUCAGAUGGCCAGUGUUUCACUUUCAAUCCAAUAUUAUUAUAAAUGUAAUAAAGACACCAGGACUCGGUUCGAGACCAAAAGCCAUAUUUGGCAAGACCAGUGGCUGAGACCGAAACAAGUCCAAGUCCAAAUACCAGCGGGUCCGAGCCAAAUCCAAGAUCAUAAAAAAGCCAUCUCAAGUCCAAGACCGGACUCGAGUACUACAGCCCUGAAAUAUAUUAUAUAUAUUUCGGUUCAGGCACCGUUUAGGCACCGGUAUCGGAAAAAAAACCAAACGAUACCCAACCCUACUGCAGAACAACAGACAUAGAAGAUGGUGAUGUCUGGUAACCAUGUUGUCCUGAUUAUGUCGUUGGUUGUCAUGGUGUUGAAGGUGAUAUGUACAGUACAACAACAAAUGAUAAGACAAAUGUGCAACAUGUUUAAUUCAGAGUCAAAGAUGUUGAAACAACAGACAAAUAUUAUAAAAUCACCUUUAUCAAUAACUCAUUCAUAUCAACACUGCAGAUAUAUUCAGUUAUACGUAGGCUUUUCUAACCUCUACAGAUCUCUCUCUCUCUCUCUUUUUGGGGGGAUUAGUCAGGAAAAAAAGAGGGGAGCGAGUAGAGGGGUGUGUUAAUUUUGGCUUUUGUUUGGUGUAUCUUCAGAUUAUUCUGCAUUUAAUUCAGUCUUUUUUUGGAUAUAGUCAUUUGUAUUCUGUAUAUGGAUUCAGUAUAUCGGUAUAAGUAUAAGGUUAAGUUGUAAAUAUAUGUUGAAAGUUAUUGUGGGAUUGUCUCAGUGCUCUUCACUGUAUAAAGGUGUUGGUAGAGAGCGUAGGUGUGUAUACCGGGAGGAAAAGCAGUGUAGGGGCUCGGAGAGAGGGGAGUGGGCAGAGGGCUUUGUUAAGUUUGGCUUUUCUUUGAUGUAAGAUUGAUAGUUUUGAAUUUUCAAUUAGUUUUAUUUCAUUUGAGUUUUUACUUGGAUUUUUUUAAAGUGUAGUUUUAGACUGUGUUUGCUAGUUUAAGUUUUUAUAUAUUAAGUCAGUGAUUUUCAACCACUGUGCCACUGAGAAAUUAUCCGAUUUUACUUAAUUGGUCCAACAAAUUUUUUUUAUUGAGUUACUGCAAAUAAUUUGCCAUUGUUGCGCAUCUGUGCCUGCAAUGUGAUGACUGGCAGAUAAAUUAAAUGCUAUUCUAUGUCAGUAGGUGGCAGUAUAGCGCAAUAAUGACCUUGUUGAUUUAAGACAAUAGAAUUACUGCCACCUGGUGACAGUGCCAGGAUGUAAGCAGUAGGGCCGAGACCAUUGAUGUAAGCCUGCGACAGCGAUGGAUACAUUUUCAAAAGGAAAAAUGCAGAUUCUGAUUAUUAGGCUACAAUGUGUCAUUUUGUAACAGUUUUGGGGUUUUUUUAUGUAAAAAAUGUGCCGUGGCUCAAAAAAGGUUGAAAAACACUAUUAAGUUUUUUGUUUUUGUCAUGGCCAGGUAUUGUGUCUCAGAAGUAUGCAGCUACAUAAAGAAUAUAAGUUUAAUGUACUGUACUGCUUCUGUUGUCCAUCUGCCUAAUACAUGCUUGUACAGAGUUGAGGAACUGUGUGGCACUUGUUUAUCACGAAUAAAAAUCAGCUCUGGAAAGAAAAA